GAUGAAGAACGUAGCGAAAUGCGAUAAGUAGUGUGAAUUGCAGAUUUCAGUGAAUCAUCGAAUCUUUGAACGCACCUUGCGCCCUUUGGCUAUUCCGAAGGGCAUGCCUGUUUGAGUAUCAUGAACACCUCAACUCUCAUGGGUUUGCCAUGAUGAGCUUGGACUUUGGGGGUCUUGCUGGCCUAUGGUCAGCUCCUCUCAAAUGGAUCAGCUUGCCAGUGUUUGGUGGCACCACAGGUGUGAUAACUAUCUACGCUUGUGGCUUUCCACCAGGUAACCUUCAGUGAUGAAGGUUCGCUGGGGCUUAUAAAUGUCUCUCCUCAGUGGAGACGGCUUUUUUGAAUGUUUGAUCUCAAAUCAGGUAGGACUACCCGCUGAACUUAAGCAUAUCAAUAAGCGGAGGA
rnacentral:misc_RNA from 1 species